UGGGGAAUAUUGGACAAUGGGCGCAAGCCUGAUCCAGCAAUGCCGCGUGAGUGAUGAAGGCCCUAGGGUUGUAAAGCUCUUUCACCCGCGACGAUGAUGACGGUAGCGGGAGAAGAAGCCCCGGCUAACUUCGUGCCAGCAGCCGCGGUAAUACGAAGGGGGCUAGCGUUGUUCGGAAUUACUGGGCGUAAAGGGCGCGCAGGCGGUCCUUCAAGUCAGGGCGUGAAAGCCCCGGGCUCAACCUGGGAAUAGCGCUUGAGACUGAGGGACUUGAGUUCGGGAGAGGAGAGCGGAAUUCCCAGUGUAGAGGUGAAAUUCGUAGAUAUUGGGAAGAACACCGGUGGCGAAGGCGGCUCUCUGGACCGACACUGACGCUGAGGCGCGAAAGCGUGGGGAGCAAACAGGAUUAGAUACCCUGGUAGUCCACGCCGUAAACGAUGUGUGCUAGACGUCGGGGAGCGUAGCUCUUCGGUGUCGCCGCUAACGCUUUAAGCACACCGCCUGGGGAGUACGGCCGC
rnacentral:rRNA from 1 species